UACGGAGGGUGCAAGCGUUGUCCGGAUUCAUUGGGUUUAAAGGGUGCGCGAGGCGGGACAUUAAGUCAGGGGUGAAAGACGGUUGCUCAACAAUCGCAGUGCCUUUGAUACUGGUGUUCUUGGGUGACCUUGAGGUAGGCGGAAUGGGUGGUGUAGCGGUGAAAUGCAUAGAUACCACCCAGAACUCCGAGUUGCGAAGGCAGCCUACUGGAGGUUUAC
rnacentral:rRNA from 1 species